rnacentral:lncRNA from 1 species
GUGGCUGGGCGCGGCUGACAUCUGCAAGGCGCCGUAGAGAAUGGGGUCAGGCAGGCAUCGUGGCCGGGGCUCGUGAUGGAAGGCUGACAAGAGACUGGCCAUGACUCCCGAAGGCGUGAGUGGACGCCGGUAGAGGCACGACGGGAGCUCGGCGCCGCCGUCCGUCUGCGAGAGCUCCCCGGGUGGCCUUGCCCGGUGGCCGGCAACGUGCCCGCCCUCUGCGGAUGCUCGGAAGGCCUGGGAUCGCAGAGCCGGGAGGGACGGGCGUGGCCGAGAAGAAUGUGACCCCGUUCGUCGCCGUUCUGCGGCCAACUUGUGCUUGUUUUCCGCGGUGGGUGUCAUAGAGGCGAAGUGACACCUCAUGGGGGUCAAUGAAGACGAAAUCUGCAAACGCGUUUUUAUUUUUAAAAAAUUUAAAAAAACUUUUUUAGGGCCGCACCUGCGCCAUAGGGAGGUUCCCAGGCUGGGGGGGGAUUCGGAGCUGCAGCUGCUGACCUACCCCCACAGCCACAGCAAAGCGGGGUUAGAGCCGCGUCUGCGACCUACACCGCAGCUCACGGCAACGCCGGAUCCUUAACCUACUGAGCAAGGCCGGGACUGAACCUGUGUCCUCCUGGCUGCUAGUCAGAUUUGUUUCCUCUAAGCCUAAACGGGAACUUCUGCAAACGCGUUUUUAAAUUGUGGGACUAAUUCGUGUGUACGGUUCCGGAGUUGUAUCGAUGCGAUUUUGUUUGAGCUGUUCAGCAUCUCAAAUACCACGGUGUAGUAUUUCAAACGGUACAGUGGUGGGUUAAGCUGUACAAAGCAAUUCAGUUUUAACUCCUUGCCUAGUGGUUAAUAGACACAAUGGGAAUUAGACCCAUGAUUACAUUAGGAAAGUUGCUUUAGAAAAAGAACAUUCCCUUUUGGGGGGAGCACCUGCUGCAUUCGGAAGUUCCUAGCCAGGGAUGGGACCAGAGACCAGAGUCACAGCAGUGACAAUGCGGAGUCCUUAACUUCUAAGCGACCAGGGAACUCCCGGAAGAGGAACAUUCUUAGAGCAGCGGUUCUUAACCCCCUUCUUUUUUUUUUUUUUUCUUUUUUCAGAGAGAGAUUUAUUGCUAUACUUGAAAAUGCAAACAAAGUUUGUGCAUGCAUUCAGGUAGGAAACCAGUGCAUGUAAUUUCAGGGUGUUUAUGAACCCUCCCCAAAAGCCUAUCCAGGGACUCCUGUUAAAGACUGUUUAUCUGGAUACUAGACGAUACAUUAUAAGAGUUAACAAAACAAAACAAAACGUGGCCCCUAUUUGUCCUUUGCCAUUCUGUUUACUUCCCCUAGGAUAAGACAUGCAAAACUGAUCUUUGCUGAGCAUGUAUUUAAAACCAGUACAGGUACCGUACCCAGCCAGGGACCUGCUGUCCUGUACUUUUCACACCUUCCUUGUAAACGGGAUGGAGUAGUGUGAGCUGUACGUAUGACUCGUGUGACUAACUGUGUCACAAAAGGAGAGAUGUCCUGUAGGAGGCACGCUCUGAAGUCUUUUUGUUUCAUCAACGAAAAGAACACUUUUAAGACCCCUCCGGAGGAUACGGGCCUUGGCAAGGCCGUCCAGUUGUGACAGAGCUACGGCCAGAGCCCAGGGCUCACAGCCCAGCAUCCCUUGUCACUUCAACAACCGUUGAAUGCCUCCUGUUGGGAACUCCACAGAUGUUUGGUGUGGAGCUACAAGUGGCCCUCACGUCUUCCAGCGGUCCCAGGUCACCUUUCCCGCACGUCUCAGUGCCUGUGAUUGCUCUAAAUCCUCACCGCUUAAACCUUUCUCGCCACAUCUCUCCCUGUCCCAGCGCCAGCCUCACCUCCUGCCCAGCCAUCCUUAGUGCAUAAUAUGCGCUCAACUAGUUCCCAAAGGAAUGAACCCUGCUUUUGCUUCAUUGAGAUAAACAUGAUCCCAGGCAUUUCUGAGUUAGUUGCCCUCUGACCAGUAGCUUGAAUCUUUGGUUCUGUCUCUGUGAAGCUCUUUCAUUCCAAACUCUUUCUGGUGCCUUAGAAAUUGAACAGUGACUUUUGUUUUUAUCAUGGAAUAUAAUUAUUAGUCAGCUUGCUCUGUCCUUAUCAUGGAAAGGACCCAGGUAGACUCUAUACUCAGCAGUGAAAUGCCUCUCUGGUUAAAAUCACAACUUUUCUGCUUGCAGUAAUCCAGCAUUUAUCUAAGGCUAACCGAGAUACUACAAUUACUUCUUAAUUACAUCUUGUGGUACGAGGUCAUUGGCGCCCUUCUCAUGCAAAUAAAAACGAUUUACGCGUGUUAUAGCACAAUAGGUGCUAUUCACAGUGGAUUUCAGUGCUUCCUAGAACCACAGCUUUAAACCGGCCCUAACUCGGGAGAACUGAGGCCGUUUGUGUGCAACCUCUAGCCCCAUUGAAUUUGGCGACUUUUCAUUUAGUGAAGCUCUUUGUCCCUCACUUUAUGAAAUCGUCCUGCGAAAGCCUGAGCCCCUUUUUUCUGAGAUCUGCAUUUCAGCAGUGUCUUUGAACUUGCUGCACCUCUGAGGUAUGUUUAUGGUUUCCAGGCCGGGUCGUUUUCACCUUCAUAUUCAGGAGACAACCCGGCCCGCUGGUCUACCUAAGUCAAAGUGGGUUCAUGGCCACGAACCUUGCAUCCCGCUCUGCUGCUUGAGGUCCGUGACAGGAAACGUUGUCGUGUCGGCUUGGCCGCUGUGCUCUGUCAGAAGUGUCUCUUGAGUCAAGCCUGGUUUCCCCUGGUGAAGAAAACUGCAAGACGACUUCCUGCCGCGGUGCAGGGGACUGAGAGAGCCUGAUGCUGGUGGCUCCGGUUGUCGCUGCCGAGGUGGAGGUUCAAUCCCUGGCCGGGUGCAGUGGGUUAAAGGAUCCGGCGUUGUCUCAUCUUCAAACCCUGGCCCGGGAACUUCAUGCGCUGCCGAGCAGCUGUUACCCAAAAUAAAAACAAAAAAAAAAA